GACGAACGCUGGCGGCGUGCUUAACACAUGCAAGUCGAACGGAAAGGCCCUGCUUGCAGGGUGCUCGAGUGGCGAACGGGUGAGUAACACGUGGGUGAUCUGCCCCUUACUUUGGGAUAAGCCUGGGAAACUGGGUCUAAUACUGGAUAGGACCAUGCUGUAGGUGGUGUGGUGGAAAGAUUAGUUUCGGUAAGGGAUGAGCUCGCGGCCUAUCAGCUUGUUGGUGGGGUAAUGGCCUACCAAGGCGUCGACGGGUAGCCGGCCUGAGAGGGUGGACGGCCACAUUGGGACAGAGAUACGGCCCAGACUCCUACGGGAGGCAGCAGUGGGGAAUAUUGCACAAUGGGCGCAAGCCUGAUGCAGCGACGCCGCGUGGGGGAUGACGGCCUUCGGGUUGUAAACUCCUUUCAGCCAUGACGAAGCCCUUGUGGUGACGGUAGUGGUAGAAGAAGCACCGGCUAACUACGUG
rnacentral:rRNA from 1 species